GUAUAAUGUUUAUUAUCAUCAUAAUUCUAUAACUUUAAAGAAUUGGGUAUGUUAAAAACAUAGGCAUUGACGCCAGCAAACCUCUCAAAACCCAAAUCAAUGCAAAAGACAUUGACCUGACCCCAAGAGUUUCUUAAAUGUUCAGCCAAGCCUACAAAAGGUGCACAGGUGGUUGAUAAAAAGAGCGAAAAAGAGAGUGUGCACAUUGCCUUCCAUUUCAAUAAUAAAAGGCCAGCAACAACCCUUUUUUUUCACUUUUUUAAUUCAAUAAUGAUCCUUCCGCAGGUUCACCUACGGAAA
rnacentral:misc_RNA from 1 species